rnacentral:rRNA from 1 species
UACGAAGGGGGCUAGCGUUGCUCGGAAUUACUGGGCGUAAAGCGCACGUAGGCGGCUUCUUAAGUCGGUGGUGAAAUCCUGGAGCUCAACUCCAGAACUGCCUUCGAUACUGGGAGCUCGAGUCCGGGAGAGGUGAGUGGAACUGCGAGUGUAGAGGUGAAAUUCGUAGAUAUUCGCAAGAACACCAGUGGCGAAGGCGGCUCACUGGCCCGGUACUGACGCUGAGGUGCGAAAGCGUGGGGAGCAACAGGG